rnacentral:rRNA from 1 species
GGGGAUACGUGUUAACUCCCAACCCCUGUGACAUACCAAUUGUUGCCUCGGCGGAUCAGCCCGCUCCCGGUAAAACGGGACGGCCCGCCAGAGGACCCCUAAACUCUGUUUCUAUAUGUAACUUCUGAGUAAAACCAUAAAUAAAUCAAAACUUUCAACAACGGAUCUCUUGGUUCUGGCAUCGAUGAAGAACGCAGCAAAAUGCGAUAAGUAAUGUGAAUUGCAGAAUUCAGUGAAUCAUCGAAUCUUUGAACGCACAUUGCGCCCGCCAGUAUUCUGGCGGGCAUGCCUGUUCGAGCGUCAUUUCAACCCUCAAGCCCAGCUUGGUGUUGGGACUCGCGAGUCAAAUCGCGUUCCCCAAAUUGAUUGGCGGUCACGUCGAGCUUCCAUAGCGUAGUAGUAAAACCCUCGUUACUGGUAAUCGUCGCGGCCACGCCGUUAAACCCCAACUUCUGAAUGUUGACCUCGGAUCAGGUAGGAAUACCCGCUGAACUUAAGCAUAUCAAA